GGUGCGGUGGGCCGGUCUCCGGCCGGCGGCGGCCAGCCGCCGGCCGGAGUCCACGCGCUGGAUCGUCCGGCGCGGCGGCCGGGCGCCGCCGCC
rnacentral:tRNA from 1 species